UUCCCCUAGUAACUGCGAGUGAAGCGGGAAAAGCUCAAAUUUAAAAUCUGGCGGCUUUGGUCGUCCGAGUUGUAUUCUAGAGAAGUGUUUUCCGCGUUGGACCGUGUAUAAGUCUCUUGGAAUAGAGCGUCAUAGAGGGUGAGAAUCCCGUCUUUGACACGGACUACCAAUGCUUUGUGAUACACUCUCAAAGAGUCGAGUUGUUUGGGAAUGCAGCUCAAAAUGGGUGGUAAAUUCCAUCUAAAGCUAAAUAUUGGCGAGAGACCGAUAGCGAACAAGUACCGUGAGGGAAAGAUGAAAAGCACUUUGGAAAGAGAGUUAAACAGUACGUGAAAUUGCUGAAAGGGAAACGCUUGAAGUCAGUCGCGUUAGCUAGAACUCAACCAGGCUUGCUUGGCGUAUUUUCUAGUUAACGGGCCAGCAUCAGUUUUGACCGCAGGAAAAGGGCCAGGGAAAUGUGGCAUCUUCGGAUGUGUUAUAGUCUCUGGUCGUAUACUGUGAUUGGGACUGAGGACCGCAGCACGCGCAAGCUGUGCUUAGGAUGCUGGCGUAAUGGCUUUAAACGACCCGUCUUGAAACACGGACCAAGGAGUCUAACAAACCUGCGAGUAUUUGGGUGGUAAACCCGAGUGCGCAAUGAAAGUGAAAGUUGGGAUUCCUGUCGUGGGAAGCACCGACGCCCGGACCAGACCUUCUGUGACGGAUCUGCGGUAGAGCAUGUUUGUUGGGACCCGAAAGAUGGUGAACUAUGCCUGAAUAGGGUGAAGCCAGAGGAAACUCUGGUGGAGGCUCGUAGCGAUUCUGACGUGCAAAUCGAUCGUCAAAUUUGGGUAUAAGGGCGAAAGACU
rnacentral:rRNA from 1 species